GUAUCAUUAUCAUCCAAAAUGAAUUAAAACGAUCAAAUUUUCUGACGAUAUAGCUGUCGUAGUUUUCGUAAACACCAAUUCCGAGGUCUGUUUUGUUCAUUUAUUAUUACGAAUUCAUAAUAUAUUUUCUAGUGGUUGAGCUCUAUUGACUCUGAUCGUUGGCUCUCUCUCCUCCAUUGACAAGCACAUGCCCAAUUGCCCACUACUCUUCUCUUUCCCUGCACCAGACGCCACUACCCUCUUCUGCAACCGCUCUCACGUCACUCCCCUUCUCUCUCCUCUCUCCUCAGUGAGAUGAGUAGAGAAUAAUAUGCUUGAAGAAGUUGAAACAAUAGGAAUCUCACUGAAAGGUAGACAUGCUUCUUUCCAUCAAUGAUGUUUGUCCUGUCCAACUUAAUGGUGCAUUGAAGAACCUGUAUGUGGUAAUAUAAUUAAAUUUCUUUCUUAUUCUUCAGGGUGAAAACUACGGUAAUUGACAUUACUCCAUAUUGAAAUUAAAAGGUAGAGAUACUGAUUUCAACAGGUCAUGAAUUUCGGGAUUUUCUUUUAUAUAUCUUGUUGAUAGGGUGGCGAAUCUGGCGAUGCAUAAUAUCAUGUAUGUAUGAUAGUGAGUUUGUUGCUGUGAGAUUCAUCGCAAAGAAAGCACACCUGGUAAUCAUUGACCGCUGUUAAACUCCUGAACUGUAUACUGAAUGUAAACACUUACCUAUCUUAUUAACUAUAUUGUUGUCAGAUCAUCCAUUUUUCUCUUUUGGUAAGUGUAAUCUUGUUAAUUGGCUCUAUAGUUGCAUGAGUACAUGAAGCUAAGUGAGAGAUGUCUGAAAAGUGGUAAUUGUGGUACCGGAUAUAUUUUUAGCCAAUUAUCUUAGUUUAAGAUCAGUAUGUAUGCUCUAAUUUCAAAUUCUCUUAAGUAUCUAGCGUGAUGCACUUAUUCUUGCAGCACCACCGUCCAAUUUUCUUGUGCGUGUGGUCUUGCAUUUGCAUCGUCAUGAACAAGCGUGUUAUUGGAUGUGUAAUAAAAUAGGUCGGAUUACUAAUAAUCUGUUGCUUUAAUGUUUUAUUUUUCAUAUAUUAUAUAGCAUUUUAGUGAACGCAAUUUCGCUCAAAUGAUAAUAUGUUUUAUUUCUUAUGUUUGUAUAUCGAGUCAUGACUAAAAUGAUCUCUUUUGUCGUGUCUUUUUCUUUUUGACAAGUUCAUUAGUCAUGUCUUUUUCUUUUUGACAAGUUCAUUAGUCAUGUCCUCCUAGGGAGUUCCCGUGUCUUCUUUUAAAUGAUCCAUGUAUCCAACUACGUAAAUCCGGGUAGCAGGACUGUUAGAGAUUGAAGUUUCAUACCCGACCGGACGUGUUUUCAAGCAUUUGGCAGAGGUAUUCGACUACAUUUUCAAAGGAAAUUCAGUUAAGCUUCUUAAUAGGUAUGUCAUUCCAUUUGUGAAAAACUUUGAUGUUUGGAUCUUUAUUUCUGUCAUUAGAUUUUAUUGUGGGAAGUAAAAGAAUUUGUUAUAUUCUCUCCCUUGAGGCUGAACAAUACGAAUUUGCAUUCUGGCUUUUUGCUUGUGUUAGUUUGGCAGUUUAACGAGUAACGCAUUUAUUUGUAUGAUAUUAAAUAGACAGAUUUCUUAAUGCUGAAUGACAAGAAUGGUUUGUGUGUUC